AUGCUCUUCUCCUAUUAUUUUGUUGUUCUUAACCACCUUAUCGACACUGAUUAUCAGCAGGAGGACACCGGAGCGAGUAACCCGGUGAUUGAAGAGGUAACUAUACUUUCCUCCGACUCGGAGCCCUUGCCAAGGCUGAAAGUCCGAAGAGUAACCCGGAAAGUAAGAUUUUCCCAUUCUUUAGCUUAUCAAGAUCCUCAAUUUCUUUUGAAGCAACAUAUUCAUGAGAGCCGGAGGCAAACCCGGGCCAACAAGGAUGCAGACCUCUCCUUCGGCUUACCUGAAGCAUCAAGGAAGCGCCAGACCGAGGUUAUCUCCAACUUAUAUCCUUUUCAUCCUUUGGCGGGCAUCACACGUCAACCACUCAACUCUUCUGAUUCAAAUUAUCAAGAAACUUCACCUUCCUCCGGUGACUCCAUGCAAUCUAACUUGCCGGCUUUCAAGACUGCACCCGGCGCACAAGCAAAGCUCAGCAAGAGGGCAAAGAAAAAUCACCCGGUCGAAGAACCGGUCUUGACUGAACCCACCGCCUCUGCUUCUGAGCCGCCGUCUGCACCAAACACCACCACUCCAACUGAACAACAAGCCGCGGAGAGUUCUGACAACCCGGAGAUCCCCAGCUCAGCUCAACCGGCCGAUGACCCGGAUGUGGUGAUUACCCGCCGAAUAUGUUGA
rnacentral:rRNA from 1 species